CAUGAAAUAUGUUUGAAAAAAAAAAGAUGCAGCUCAUGCAGGGACAGAUCUGAAUGUAGACAAUCAUUUGUCAAUAAUUGCUUGGAAAAGUCCCCAUAUCACCUGAAUGCCCUAUAACAGAGCUACAGCACAUUCCCUCCCAUCAGUUUUCAGUCUGGACUGAACAAGACGACACAGUCCUCAGUGAGCUACACCAACAGUAAAAGGAAGACAUCGGAGGACACAACCACAUGUGAAGACACCGGGCCAAAGAAGAAGGGGAAGAUGAAGAAGAAGAAUUGCUUCCGAUGCAUUGUCUCUUGGUUGAGGCUGCUGUGUUUCCCGCAUUGAUUAGGGAUGUGUGAAGCUGUGUAGGGUUUCUUUGCAUGUUUUCCUGGGCUUCUGGGAAAUUGUGCAAUCAAAACCUUCACAGAUCUUCCGAGGGCAGCAUGGUGGCUUAGUGGUCA